rnacentral:rRNA from 1 species
AGUGAACGCUGGCGGCGUGCUUAACACAUGCAAGUCGAACGCGAAAGGGUAGCAAUACCCGAGUAGAGUGGCGAACGGGUGAGUAAAAUGUGGGUAAUCUAGCUUUCAGAGGGGGAUAACCCGGGGAAACCUGGGCUAAAACCGCGUAACAUCGGUACGAUCACGGUCGUAUGGAUCAAAACAUGGCCUCUAUUUAUAAG